rnacentral:rRNA from 1 species
AUWGGAUGUACCUAGGUGGGAUUAGCUAGUUGUGAGGUAAUGGCUCACCAAGGCGACGAUCCCUAGCUGUUCUGAGAGGAUGAUCAGCCACACUGGACUGAGACACGGCCCAGACUCCUACGGGAGGCAGCAGUGGGGAAUAUUGCACAAUGGCGCAAGCCUGAUGCAGCCAUGCCGCGUGUGUGAAGAAGUCCUUCGGGUUGUAAAGCACUUUCAGCGAGGAGGAAAGCUUAAGCGUUAAUAGCGUAUAGGUGUGACGUUACUCGCAGAAGAAGGACCGGCUAACUUCGUGCCAGCAGCCGCGGUAAUACGAGGGGUCCAAGCGUUAAUCGGAAUUACUGGGCGUAAAGCGUACGCUAGGCGGUUUGUUAAGCGAGAUGUGAAAGCCCCGGGCUCAACCUUGGGAAUUGCAUCUCGAACUGGCAGACUAGAGUCUUGUAGAGGGGGGUAGAAUUUCAGGUGUAGCGGUGAAAUGCGUAGAGAUCUGAAGGAAUACCGGUGGCGAAGGCGACCCCCUGGACAAAGACUGACGCUCAGGUACGAAAGCGUGGGGAGCAAACAGGAUUAGAUACCCUGGUAGUCCACGCCGUAAACGAUGUCUACUCGGAAUUUGGUGCCUUGAGC